rnacentral:rRNA from 1 species
UACGUAGGGGGCUAGCGUUGUCCGGAAUCAUUGGGCGUAAAGCGCGUGUAGGCGGUCCGGUAAGUCCGCUGUGAAAGUCGGGGGGCUCAACCCUCGAAUGCCGGUGGAUACUGCCGGGCUAGAGUGCGGAAGAGGCGAGUGGAAUUCCUGGUGUAGCGGUGAAAUGCGCAGAUAUCAGGAGGAACACCAAUUGCGAAGGCAGCUCGCUGGGACGUUACUGACGCUGAGACGCGAAAGCGUGGGGAGCAAACAGG